GGAAUCUUCCACAAUGGCGAAAGCCUGAUGGAGCAACGCCGCGUGUGUGAUGAAGGGUUUCGGCUCGUAAAACACUGUUGUAAGAGAAGAAUGACAUUGAGAGUAACUGUUCAAUGUGUGACGGUAUCUUACCAGAAAGGAACGGCUAAAUACGUGCCAG
rnacentral:rRNA from 1 species